rnacentral:lncRNA from 1 species
UUCUUGAAAAAUAGAAGAAUGAAAGUGUGGGGAAGAAUGGGAAGGGAAGACCCUAUUUAUAGAAAUUAGGAACCAUCGGAUUCACGUCAAGUGGAAAAAUCCAGUAAAAAGAGAAAGAAAAAUGAUGCUCAGUAUAAAAAACGAGGGAGGAAAAUAUCCUCCGUCGGUAAUGAUGGCGCACCACUCAAGGUGAUAGCAGCGCACUGCCUAAGGCGGUAGUGGCCCUCUUGGUGUGUUGCAAGCUAGCCUGCAAGCGCAUAGCCCUCCUUGCCGCGCGUACAGGGUUUUGGCGGGCAAGGUGUCGCGUGCGUAGGCCUACUGCGCGUUGGUCCCAGACGCACAGGGGCCUAUCUGAGCAGGCCUACUAUGCAGACAGUGCACGCAUAGUGUUCGACGCCUGUCUGCAUGCGAGGUGAUGUGCGGACGGCCUGUCUGUGCAUGACAGGAUACGCGCAAGGUCUAACCCCGCGACGCGUGUGCGGAUGGGGAGUUCAUGCUAUAUGCAUGUCCCGCGCUUGCUGUACGUGCAUGCGCACCCACAGUGCGUAGAUGCCCGUGCAGGCAGCUGUCCUUCCAUGUGGGAUUUUUCCCGUUUCGCCACUUUUCUAAAAUUUCAUUUUUUUUGUACUGAAAUAAAAUAAAA